UGGGGAAUAUUGGACAAUGGGCGAAAGCCUGAUCCAGCCAUGCCGCGUGGGUGAAGAAGGCCCUAGGGUUGUAAACCCCUUUCAGCGGGGAAGCGGUACCCGCAGAAGAAGCCCCGGCUAACUCCGUGCCAGAGCCGCGGUAAAACCGGUUACUCCUAG
rnacentral:rRNA from 1 species